ensembl:lncRNA
GUUUGUAUGCUAGAAAUCCGUCUGCGAUGCAUGCGGUUUCCAGGGUAACAAUAGAAGAAAAGUUUAUUAAUCAAUACACAAUCAAUAUUGAUCACACAAUCACAAUCAAUUUGUUCAUGAAAAGGAUCUCUUUAGUUUUUUUAUACAUAGAUAGUGAAUUGUGUGAAUAACAACUCCUGCAUUGAGGUAUAAAGCAAGUUUAUUAGCUGAUGAAACUGACUGAAAGUGAAUAUUUUCAUCUCCAAAUGGCAUAAAUCACACUAAAGCUGCUGGCGGACACUGAGAUUCAACGCAGCCUGGAAAAACUGGUCCAGAUGUUCAAGGGAUUCACCCUUUGGAACAAAGACCGAUUAAAGCUUCACAUAAGCCCAAGGCUCAGGAUUCAACCUCCUCCUGGGCCUCCUCCUGGGCCUCCUCUUGGGCCUCCUCCUGGGCCUCCUCCUGGACCUCCUCCUGGGCCUCCUCUUCAAUCUCCUCCUGGGCCUCCUCUUGGACCUCCUCCCGUUUCUCCUCCUGGGCCUCCUCCUGGGCCUCCUCUUGGACCUCCUCUUGGACCUCCUCCUGGACCACAUCCCAUAGAGACUUCAAGCACGACAUGCAACAUUUGCUCUUCUUCUUCCCCUUCUGUUUGAGAGUCUGUAUCGGGGCCCCAUGGUUCUCGUCACUCCUCCCUCUUUCCAUGAUGAUCGACGCUUCUUUGUUUGUUUUCUUUAUCUGUUUUCUUUGUCUUUGUUUUUUUGGACAAUUGGCCGGUGGACUGUUUUGGCUUUCAGAUGGAUUUAUCCGAACUGGGAAGACAAAGCGUGUGUUAAUGUCUGUCUGUCAUGGUAAUGGCUGGACACACGUUAUGUCAUGAACCACGUCUUGUGUAAACUCACACGCUCACAGUGCUCGACAAUACAAGCAUUUCUCACAGUAACAACAUCCCGAGUCUCACAUGUUCUACUGCCUUGAAGUUUCUCACAUUCUCAAAACCCUGUCUCCUGUCUCUCUACCAGUUCCCCCUUUUCUCAAACCCCUGUGCUCCUUAUGUACAGCUUCCACUAAUCAGAAACUAACUGAUCCCAAUCAGCUGCAGUGACGGUGUGUCGUUACAAUGUUGUUUGGUUCAGAAAUGGCAGCUUUUGCUAAUUUAGUGAAUCUGUCAGCAUUUGUUCAUUGCAACUACUUGGCUGCGUUCGAUUUGCAUCCUCAUCUUACUUUGUCUUAAGGAAUCUACACAAGUAGCAUUCCCCCUUGAAACUGUUCCUCAGAAAACACAGAGGAAAUGAUUUAAUCGAACAGUUAUAUACAAACUACAUUUGAAAUGUAUUAUUUUACUGGCUGCUGAAUCCACGUGAUAAAGAAGCAUUUUCUACAUAACACCUUUUGAUAUAACAACAUAUUAUAUGCAGAGCUGUCCGGUUUCAUUAAAGAGAAAAUCCUAAACACUCUGUGGAGUGAAGACAGAUUAACAGUUCUUCCACACUGAUGAUCAUUUCUCGUGCCAGGAGUUGAGGUCCUGUUUUAACAGUCGGAUACAACUGCUCCCCACAGACAUGAUCAGGUAUUAAGUGAUAACCCUGAUGGUGAAAUAGCAUCUUAUCUUUGCCAUCGGGUGACUCCAUCAGCCUCGUCCACCAUGAAAGCAACUAGGAAAGGAGGUAAGAGACGGCCAUUAGGAGAAGAGACAAAAAGAGUUGCGUUCUUACCUUACCUUACUUUGCUUUCAGAGUUGCCUUUCUCUCAACUAGAAUCUUUACUUUUUGUAGAGGUAGACUUUCACCUUCACACGUGUCUUCAGGUUUAACAGGUUGGGCCAAGAGGCACUUGCCUUGACAGGGACGAGUUAUUAACAGCAUAACCGACAUUUUGUCUUAAAAGUGUAACAAAACGUUUCCAUAUUACACCUCGCUGAUAUUUACAAAAACUAUGAGAUGUUUCCAUUAGUAAUGUCUGUAAACACAGUAAUAGAAUGGAUGGAGUUAAGUAUGAUGAUUUAAGAAAUGCUUUGAUAAUAAUGACUUGGAUCUAUGAAUUAAAUGUGUG